UACGUAGGGUGCAAGCGUUUAAUCGGAAUUACUGGGCGUAAAGCGUGCGCAGGCGGUUUUGUAAGUUUGUCGUGAAAUCCCCGGGCUCAACCUGGGAAUGGCGAUGAAGACUGCAAGGCUAGAAUCUGGCAGAGGGGGGUAGAAUUCCACGUGUAGCAGUGAAAUGCGUAGAGAUGUGGAGGAACACCGAUGGCGAAGGCAGCCCCCUGGGUCAAGAUUGACGCUCAUGCA
rnacentral:rRNA from 1 species